rnacentral:lncRNA from 1 species
AGGAGAAUGAGCUAUAGCUGCGCAUAUGAUCUAGUUAUUUUACCUGCGAGUCUACCCAACAAAACAUUGUGUCCGAGCUGCUUAGUGGUACCUGAGAUUGUGCCACUAUUGCAUAUGUGCAUGUUUCA